rnacentral:rRNA from 1 species
GAUCUACCCUUGGGCAGGUUGAAGCUGUGGUAACACAUAGUGGAGGACCGAACCCGUUGACGUUGAAAAGUCUUGGGAUGACCUGAGGGUAGGGGUGAAAGGCCAAUCAAACUCGGAAAUAGCUCGUACUCCCCGAAAUGCAUUUAGGUGCAGCGUUGAUUUAAAGUUUUAUAGAGGUAGAGCUACUGAUUGGAUGCGGGGGCUUCACCGCCUACCAAUUCCUGACAAACUCCGAAUGCUAUAAAAUGUUGAUCAGCAGUGAGGGCAUGGGUGCUAAGGUCCAUGUCCGAGAGGGAAAGAACCCAGACCAUCAGCUAAGGUCCCCAAAUGUAUAUUAAGUUGAAGAAACGCGGUUGAACUGCCCAGACAGCUAGGAUGUUGGCUUGGAAGCAGCCAUUCAUUUAAAGAGUGCGUAACAGCUCACUAGUCGAGCGGUUCGGCAUGGAUAAUAAUCGGGCAUAAAUAUACUACCGAAGCUAUGGAUUUCAUAUUUAAGUAUAUGGAGUGGUAGGGGAGCAUUGUAAUGGGGUUGAAGGUGUGCUGUCAGGCAUGCUGGACUAAUUACAAAAGAAAAUGUAGGCAUAAGUAACGAUAAUGCGGGCGAGAAACCCGCACACCGAAAGACUAAGGUUUCCUCAGCUAUGCUAAUCAGCUGAGGGUUAGUCGGGACCUAAGGCGACCCCGAAUGGGUUAGUCGAUGGACAACAGAUUAAUAGUUCUGUACCUGCCCCACGAUAAAAGUGACGGAGGCGAAAAGUUAGUGCGUACUGACGGAAUAGUACGUUGAAGCCAGUGGUAACACGGCAAUAGUACACAAAAGCUUCGGCCGGCGUGAUAAUCUAGCAAAUCGACUUCCAAGAAAAGCGAGUGGUGGCAGCCCGUACCGUAAACCGACACAGGUAGUUGGGAUGAGAAUUCUAAGGUGCUCGAGAGAUUCAUGGCUAAGGAACUAGGCAAAAUAGACCCGUAACUUCGGGAGAAGGGUCGCCCAUCUUCGGAUGGGCCGCAGUGAAGAGGUCCAGGCGACUGUUUAUCAAAAACACAGGGCUCUGCUAAAUCGAAAGAUGAUGUAUAGGGCCUGACACCUGCCCGGUGCUGGAAGGUUAAGAGGAGAUGUUAGCUUCGGCGAGGCAUUGAAUUGAAGCCCCAGUAAACGGCGGCCGUAACUAUAACGGUCCUAAGGUAGCGAAAUUCCUUGUCGGGUAAGUUCCGACCUGCACGAAUGGUGCAACGAUCUGGACACUGUCUCAGCCAUGAGCUCGGUGAAAUUGUAGUAUCGGUGAAGAUGCCGAUUACCCGCUGUGGGACGAAAAGACCCCGUGCACCUUUACUAUAGCUUAGUAUUGACUUUGGACAAGUGAUGUGUAGGAUAGGUGGGAGACGUUGAAGCAGCAUCGCCAGGUGUUGUGGAGUCAUUGUUGAAAUACCACCCUUUACUUGUUUGAAGCCUAACCCCUGAACAAGGGGGACAAUGCUUGGUGGGUAGUUUGACUGGGGUGGUCGCCUCCAAAAGAGUAACGGAGGCUUCUAAAGGUUCCCUCAGCACGCUUGGUAACCGUGCGUAGAGUGCAAUGGCAAAAGGGAGCUUGACUGAGAGACAUACAGGUCGAUCAGGUACGAAAGUAGAGCAUAGUGAUCCGGUGGUUCCGCAUGGAAGGGCCAUCGCUCAAAGGAUAAAAGGUACGCCGGGGAUAACAGGCUGAUCUCCCCCAAGAGCUCACAUCGACGGGGGGGUUUGGCACCUCGAUGUCGGCUCGUCACAUCCUGGGGCUGGAGAAGGUCCCAAGGGUUGGGCUGUUCGCCCAUUAAAGUGGCACGCGAGCUGGGUUCAGAACGUCGUGAGACAGUUCGGUCUCUAUCUACAGUGGGCGUUAGAAAUUUGAGUGGAUCUGACUCUAGUACGAGAGGACCGAGUUGGACUGACCUCUGGUGCACCAGUUGUUCCGCCAGGAGCAUUGCUGGGUAGCUACGUCGGGAAGGGAUAAGCGCUGAAAGCAUAUAAGCGCGAAACCCACCACAAGAUGAGAUUUCUUUAAAGGAUCGUGGGAGACUACCACGUUGAUAGGUCACAGGUGUAAAGGCAGUAAUGUCAUAGCCGAGUGAUACUAAUAAUCCGUAAAGCUUAGUGC